AGAGUUUGAUCCUGGCUCAGGACGAACGCUGGCGGCGUGCCUAACACAUGCAAGUCACGGGGGCCCGCAAGGGCAACCGGCGAACGGGUGCGUAACACGUGAGCAAUCUGCCGAUUUCUGGGGGAUAGCCGGUCCAACGACCGGGUAAUACCGCAUACGCUCAUUGGGGGACAUCCCCUGAUGAGGAAACCUCCGGGGGAAAUCGAGGAGCUCGCGGCCUAUCAGCUAGUUGGUGCGGUAACGGCGCACCAAGGCGACGACGGGUAGCUGGUCUGAGAGGAUGGCCAGCCACAUUGGGACUGCGACACGGCCCAGACUCCUACGGGAGGCAGCAGUGGGGAAUAUUGCGCAAUGGACGAAAGUCUGACGCAGCGACGCCGCGUGUGGGAUGAAGCUCUUCGGGGUGUAAACCACUGUUGCCCGGGACGAACCUCCCCUUUCGAGGGGACUGACGGUACCGGGUGAGGAAGCACCGGCUAACUCUGUGCCAGCAGCCGCGGUAAUAC
rnacentral:rRNA from 1 species